UACGAAGGGGGCUAGCGUUGCUCGGAAUUACUGGGCGUAAAGCGCACGUAGGCGGAUCCUUAAGUCGGUGGUGAAAUCCUGAAGCUCAACUUCAGAACUGCCUUCGAUACUGGGGACCUUGAGUUCGGGAGAGGUGAGUGGAACUGCGAGUGUAGAGGUGAAAUCCGUAGAUAUUCGGAAGAACACCAGUGGCGAAGGCGACUUACUGGACAACUGUUGACGCUGAGGUGCGAAAGCGUGGGGAGCAAACAGG
rnacentral:rRNA from 1 species